rnacentral:rRNA from 1 species
ACACAUGCAAGUCGAGCGGCAGCGGGAAGAUAGCUUGGCUAUCUUUGCCGGCGAGCGGCGGNACGGGUGAGUAAUGCCUAGGGAUCUGCCCAGUCGAGGGGGAUAACAGUUGGAAACGACUGCUAAUACCGCAUACGCCCUACGGGGGAAAGGAGGGGACCUUCGGGCCUUCCGCGAUUGGAUGAACCUAGGUGGGAUUAGCUAGUUGGUGAGGUAAUGGCUCACCAAGGCGACGAUCCCUAGCUGUUCUGAGAGGAUGAUCAGCCACACUGGGACUGAGACACGGCCCAGACUCCUACGGGAGGCAGCAGUGGGGAAUAUUGCACAAUGGGGGAAACCCUGAUGCAGCCAUGCCGCGUGUGUGAAGAAGGCCUUCGGGUUGUAAAGCACUUUCAGUAGGGAGGAAAGGUAGCAGCUUAAUACGCUGUUGCUGUGACGUUACCUACAGAAGAAGGACCGGCUAACUCCGUGCCAGCAGCCGCGGUAAUACGGAGGGUCCGAGCGUUAAUCGGAAUUACUGGGCGUAAAGCGUGCGCAGGCGGUUUGUUAAGCGAGAUGUGAAAGCCCCGGGCUCAACCUGGGAAUUGCAUUUCGAACUGGCGAACUAGAGUCUUGUAGAGGGGGGUAGAAUUCC